rnacentral:rRNA from 1 species
AUGCCGUACAUACCAGCUGACGUCACAAACCUACAGGCCAAGUACCGUAGAGAGAGCAAGUUGGCAGACAUAGAGGCCACAAUAGCCUACUUCGAUGUGAAAGCAAAGGAAGAUCCAGAUUUCUUCUACAGGAUAAGGUUGGACGAUGAGGACCGUGUCAGGAACAUGUAUUGGAUGGAUGGUGCUGCAAGGAGAGCCUACAAACAUUUCCAAGAUUGCAUUUCAUUCGACGCGACGUACCUCACCAAUAUGUACAAGAUGCCAUGCGCUCCGUUCAUAGGAAUAAAUAACCACAAUCAGUCGUUGUAGUUCGGAUGCGGCCUCGUCCGGAACGAAGACACAGAUGGGUACGUUUGGCUGUUCAAGACCUUCUUGGAGUGCAUGGAUGGACUUGCUCCGAUGAACAUAAUAACGGACCAAGAUUUCAGCAUGCGUGCAGGCAUAGAGGAGGUCUUUCCGUUGGCAGUGCACAGGCACUGCAGGUGGCACAUUAUAAAGAAGGCUGAGGAGACGCUAGGACCGUUCUUUGCCGACCAUCCAGAGCUGCACAAGGCAUUCGAGCUGUGCGUGGACCACAGCUUGACGGUGGAGGAGUUUGAAAGGAGCUGGAUGGCCAUGACUGAAACACAUCAAGUCCAGGACAACGAGACUCUUGUUAGCCUGUGGGAGAAGCGAAUGUACUGGGUGCCGGCCUACUUCAUGCAGUGCUUCUUCCCCUUUCUGCAGACUACGCAGCGCAGCGAGGGGUUCAAUGCUGUUUUAAAGCGGUACGUCAGCCCUGGCAACUCAUUGCUACAGUUUGCCAAGCAGUACACAGCUUUGCAACAAAAAAUUCUGGGAUCUGAGCUACAGCAAGAAGCGACCACAUCCCUAAAGCAGCCAAAAUUGCUAACGUAUUUACCGAUGAAGAGGCAAAUGAGCAAGAUAUACACCAACAAGAUCUUUAACAAGUAA